AUGUUGUCGGUAAUUUGGGCUGAGCCUAAACAUGGCCACACAUAGGGGUCGCAAAUAUUGACUUUGAGACAUUUCAACAAAACAUCUUGGCCUCUAUCACGCAUAAUUAGGUUGCUGACUACCCAAAACGCAUCCAUGGUUAUAAAUCCAAACCUGGACUAAACCGGUGGAAACCACCCUCUCCACCCUCUCCACCCUCUGGUUUUCAAUAUCUCAAAUCCAGAACAACAGAAAAACCAGAGAACCCAGCGGAUUUAGAAAAAACCAGUGCCACAAAUCUGGGAGCUAAAAAAACCUGCCAAUUCAAUCUCAGUUUCCCAAAAGGCCACUGCCCCACAAACCUUCCAGAAAUGUUUUGUCCACCCAACUCGCUGGUUCUUCUCCGUAUUUAUAAACUAACAUACAGACAUCUGCUUUACCCAGAAGAAAAAAAACACCAUUUCUUUACUGCUCUCUGAUUUUGAGCAAAGAAAAGAGAGAGAGAGAGAGAGAGAGAGAGAGAGAGAGAGAGAGAAACAAAGCAAAUGGGUGGUGAAAUAUGCAAGUUUGAGAAGGAAUUGAAGUCCAUGAUGCAGCAGAAGAUGAAUGCUGCAGAGCCAUCAGCUGCUGCUGCUGGUGGUGGCAAUGGGGCCAAAACCAGGUGGAGCAAUACUGGUGCUGCUGGGGGUGUGAGCCAGGAAAAUAGGAUGACCCUUGAUGAUGAGAGAAGAAGAAGAGACAAGGCUGAAAAUUUGAUUCAGCUAAUCUGCUGGGGACCCAAUUGAGGAAACUAUUUCUUCUCUCUGUUUUGUUGAUCAGGGGAUAAUUAUGUGUAGGAAAGAAACUAUCUUUCUUUUCCUGUUAUGUUUUUUUCUUUCUGGUGAUAGAAUUUGUAGAAAAGAUAGCAUUACUAGUAACAGUAUACAAUAUAUACAACAAGAACUAUUCGUUUA